rnacentral:lncRNA from 1 species
GUAAAGCUGGCAGUAGUAAUAGCAGCAGCAGUGGAGUCAGUACAACUGGCAACCCAGCAGCCUCUGCCUCCUCAUCUCUGUCUACAACUAUGACUCGAGCUUGGGACAAUCAGAAGGGAGAGGGCGAAUCAGGGGAAUGGGUGGGGGGUGUGGGACAGGGGGAACAGGGGGAUCUUCAUCCAGUGAUGGAAACUCGAGAACUGGGAGUGGCCCUAACAGAGACAGUCGUCCUCGCCGCCCGGCACCAAAUGCUGAAGCUGCCUUACAGAACCUUCUCAGUCGUUCAGAUUUAGACCCCAGGGUCUUAUCAAACACUGGCUGGGGACAAACACAAAUCCGACAAAACACAACCUGGGAUGUUGAAAAUCAUGGACAAAAUAAGAUUGGAUCAAAGCCCCAUCUUCUGGUGGUGGGUCUUCUCAGUUUUCUGGACCAAGGUCAGCUGUCAGUGAAUCUAUGGUUUCAUCUGCUGGUUCCUCUGGAGAGGGCUGGGAGAGCAGCAGCAACAGUAGCAGUAGUGGAGCCUCCGUCUCUGGGAGAGGCCCACCAACAUCUGGCCCGAACAUGAGAAAUCUCAACAUGUCACAAUCCGGGCCAGUAUGUACAUCAGGGUCUGGUAUGGGCUCUGGGCUUAUGCCAGGGCAAAGCCAGCAGGGAAAGGCAACAGGCUGGGGUGGAGCAGGGACAGCAGAUAGCCAGGAAGCCAAAGGUUGGGGAAAUGAAGAGUGGAGAGAUGCCAGACCAGGGAAUAGAGGGGGGUGGGGUGACCAUGGUCCACAAGGCAAUCGUUCGGGUGGUGGCUGGGGAGAAGGUCCAGAGGCAAAAGGGACCGGUGGAUGGAAAGAAUUGGGAGGGAUGCACGAGGAAGUGGGUGGGGAUCUGGGCAAAAGCAGGGGUCAGGUAGGGACUGGGGUGAGCAAGCACCCAAAUCAAAUAAUGGAGGGGGAUGGAGGACGAGAGAAAAAAUGGACCAGGAAACUCAGGUGGGGAUUCAGGUGCGGGUGGCUGGGGAAGCUGGGAUGAAAGUGGCCCAAGAAGAACUUGGGGAGCAGGAGGCACUGGGGGUGGGGGUGGGGGCAGUACAGGAGGUGGAAUGGGGGUCAUUGGUCCCAAAUCUCAAGGUUGGGGUGGAGGAAACAAAAUGCAUCAGAUGCCAAACAGCCAGUCGGGCCCAAUCACAAGUCCGCAGGCACAAGUGCAACAGCAACAAUCACAGCCCCGCAAUCAGCUCCCACAGCAAGCGUUGGACCAAGGGGCUAUGCAGGGAGCCAUGGGCCGCAAACCCAUGCCUCAAGCCCAGAAUCAGAACCAAAGCUCGGGCUGGACUUCAGGUCCCAUUCCUACUGGUCCUGGAUGUCCUGAACCCAGCGGUUGGGACGAACCAUCACCACAGUCCAUCAGCAGGAAGAAUGACAUUGAUGAUGGGACGUCAGCUUGGGGAGACCCAACUCAUUACAACUAUAAGCCGGUCAACCUGUGGGAUAAAACAAUCCUCCAAAUGGCCCUCAGUCUCAAAGUCAAGACCAGACUCCUCAUCAGCCGCAAGUACCAACAGUUCAGCAGCAGCCACCGCCAACGAGACAGCCUUCAGGGCAGGGAGACAAUUUCAACACUUCCCAAGGGCCUGGGAAAGCACCUGCUUUAGCAGCUCCGUCAGGUUGGGGAGGUACUUCUCCUACCAGUCCAACAGUUGACAAUGGCACUGCAGCUUGGGGAAAGGCUACUGAUGCUCCUACUGGUUGGGGGAACCAGAUGAUGUUGGAGGGAAGUCAACAGGAUGGGGGAGUUCCUCCCUAACCCUAUUAAAUCUGGUAAACAAAAGCACAUUAGAAUGAACACUGAUUGUAAACGGUGGCUGUACAGUGCGUUUUUAAAGGCAUGU